rnacentral:rRNA from 1 species
GGACCCGCACAAGCGGUGGAGCAUGUGGUUUAAUUCGAUGCAACGCGAAGAACCUUACCAGGGUUUGACAUCCUGCGAAUCUCUUGGAAACUUGAGAGUGCCUUCGGGAGCGCAGUGACAGGUGGUGCAUGGCUGUCGUCAGCUCGUGUCGUGAGAUGUUGGGUUAAGUCCCGCAACGAGCGCAACCCACGUCUUUAGUUGCCAGCAUUUAGUUGGGCACUCUAGAGAGACCGCCGGUGAUAAACCGGAGGAAGGUGUGGAUGACGUCAAGUCAUCAUGCCCCUUACAUCCUGGGCUACACACGUGCUACAAUGGUAUCUACAACAGGAAGCAAGACGGCGACGUCAAGCAAAUCCUUAAAAGAUACCUCAGUUCGGAUUGCACUCUGCAACUCGAGUGCAUGAAGCUGGAAUU